rnacentral:rRNA from 1 species
AGCGUACACGGUGGAUGCCCUGGCAGUCAGAGGCGAUGAAGGACGUGCUAAUCUGCGAUAAGCGUCGGUGAGGUGAUAUGAACCGUUAUAACCGGCGAUUUCCGAAUGGGGAAACCCAGUGUGUUUCGACACACUAUCAUUAACUGAAUCCAUAGGUUAAUGAGGCGAACCGGGGGAACUGAAACAUCUAAGUACCCCGAGGAAAAGAAAUCAACCGAGAUUCCCCCAGUAGCGGCGAGCGAACGGGGAGGAGCCCAGAGCCUGAAUCAGUGUGUGUGUUAGUGGAAGCGUCUGGAAAGGCGCGCGAUACAGGGUGACAGCCCCGUACACAAAAAUGCACAUGCUGUGAGCUCGAUGAGUAGGGCGGGACACGUGGUAUCCUGUCUGAAUAUGGGGGGACCAUCCUCCAAGGCUAAAUACUCCUGACUGACCGAUAGUGAACCAGUACCGUGAGGGAAAGGCGAAAAGAACCCCGGCGAGGGGAGUGAAAAAGAACCUGAAACCGUGUACGUACAAGCAGUGGGAGCCUCUUAAUGGGGUGACUGCGUACCUUUUGUAUAAUGGGUCAGCGACUUAUAUUCUGUAGCAAGGUUAACCGAAUAGGGGAGCCGAAGGGAAACCGAGUCUUAACUGGGCGUUAAGUUGCAGGGUAUAGACCCGAAACCCGGUGAUCUAGCCAUGGGCAGGUUGAAGGUUGGGUAACACUAACUGGAGGACCGAACCGACUAAUGUUGAAAAAUUAGCGGAUGACUUGUGGCUGGGGGUGAAAGGCCAAUCAAACCGGGAGAUAGCUGGUUCUCCCCGAAAGCUAUUUAGGUAGCGCCUCGUGAAUUCAUCUCCGGGGGUAGAGCACUGUUUCGGCAAGGGGGUCAUCCCGACUUACCAACCCGAUGCAAACUGCGAAUACCGGAGAAUGUUAUCACGGGAGACACACGGCGGGUGCUAACGUCCGUCGUGAAGAGGGAAACAACCCAGACCGCCAGCUAAGGUCCCAAAGUCAUGGUUAAGUGGGAAACGAUGUGGGAAGGCCCAGACAGCCAGGAUGUUGGCUUAGAAGCAGCCAUCAUUUAAAGAAAGCGUAAUAGCUCACUGGUCGAGUCGGCCUGCGCGGAAGAUGUAACGGGGCUAAACCAUGCACCGAAGCUGCGGCAGCGACGCUUAUGCGUUGUUGGGUAGGGGAGCGUUCUGUAAGCCUGUGAAGGUGGCCUGUGAGGGUUGCUGGAGGUAUCAGAAGUGCGAAUGCUGACAUAAGUAACGAUAAAGCGGGUGAAAAGCCCGCUCGCCGGAAGACCAAGGGUUCCUGUCCAACGUUAAUCGGGGCAGGGUGAGUCGACCCCUAAGGCGAGGCCGAAAGGCGUAGUCGAUGGGAAACAGGUUAAUAUUCCUGUACUUGGUGUUACUGCGAAGGGGGGACGGAGAAGGCUAUGUUGGCCGGGCGACGGUUGUCCCGGUUUAAGCGUGUAGGCUGGUUUUCCAGGCAAAUCCGGAAAACCAAGGCUGAGGCGUGAUGACGAGGCACUACGGUGCUGAAGCGACAAAUGCCCUGCUUCCAGGAAAAGCCUCUAAGCAUCAGGUAACAUCAAAUCGUACCCCAAACCGACACAGGUGGUCAGGUAGAGAAUACCAAGGCGCUUGAGAGAACUCGGGUGAAGGAACUAGGCAAAAUGGUGCCGUAACUUCGGGAGAAGGCACGCUGAUAUGUAGGUGAAGCGACUUGCUCGUGGAGCUGAAAUCAGUCGAAGAUACCAGCUGGCUGCAACUGUUUAUUAAAAACACAGCACUGUGCAAACACGAAAGUGGACGUAUACGGUGUGACGCCUGCCCGGUGCCGGAAGGUUAAUUGAUGGGGUUAGCGGUAACGCGAAGCUCUUGAUCGAAGCCCCGGUAAACGGCGGCCGUAACUAUAACGGUCCUAAGGUAGCGAAAUUCCUUGUCGGGUAAGUUCCGACCUGCACGAAUGGCGUAAUGAUGGCCAGGCUGUCUCCACCCGAGACUCAGUGAAAUUGAACUCGCUGUGAAGAUGCAGUGUACCCGCGGCAAGACGGAAAGACCCCGUGAACCUUUACUAUAGCUUGACACUGAACAUUGAGCCUUGAUGUGUAGGAUAGGUGGGAGGCUUUGAAGUGUGGACGCCAGUCUGCAUGGAGCCGACCUUGAAAUACCACCCUUUAAUGUUUGAUGUUCUAACGUUGGCCCCUAAUCGGGGUUGCGGACAGUGUCUGGUGGGUAGUUUGACUGGGGCGGUCUCCUCCUAAAGAGUAACGGAGGAGCACGAAGGUUGGCUAAUCCUGGUCGGACAUCAGGAGGUUAGUGCAAUGGCAUAAGCCAGCUUGACUGCGAGCGUGACGGCGCGAGCAGGUGCGAAAGCAGGUCAUAGUGAUCCGGUGGUUCUGAAUGGAAGGGCCAUCGCUCAACGGAUAAAAGGUACUCCGGGGAUAACAGGCUGAUACCGCCCAAGAGUUCAUAUCGACGGCGGUGUUUGGCACCUCGAUGUCGGCUCAUCACAUCCUGGGGCUGAAGUAGGUCCCAAGGGUAUGGCUGUUCGCCAUUUAAAGUGGUACGCGAGCUGGGUUUAGAACGUCGUGAGACAGUUCGGUCCCUAUCUGCCGUGGGCGCUGGAGAACUGAGGGGGGCUGCUCCUAGUACGAGAGGACCGGAGUGGACGCAUCACUGGUGUUCGGGUUGUCAUGCCAAUGGCACUGCCCGGUAGCUAAAUGCGGAAGAGAUAAGUGCUGAAAGCAUCUAAGCACGAAACUUGCCCCGAGAUGAGUUCU